rnacentral:rRNA from 1 species
AAAGAACCUGAAACCGUGUACGUACAAGCAGUGGGAGCACCUUCGGGUGUGACUGCGUACCUUUUGUAUAAUGGGUCAGCGACUUAUAUUCUGUAGCAAGGUUAACCGUAUAGGGGAGCCGCAGGGAAACCGAGUCUUAACUGGGCGUUAAGUUGCAGGGUAUAGACCCGAAACCCGGUGAUCUAGCCAUGGGCAGGUUGAAGGUUGGGUAACACUAACUGGAGGACCGAACCGACUAAUGUUGAAAAAUUAGCGGAUGACUUGUGGCUGGGGGUGAAAG